GUACGGGAGGCAGCAGUGGGGAAUUUUGGACAAUGGGCGCAAGCCUGAUCCAGCAAUGCCGCGUGCAGGAAGAAGGCCUUCGGGUUGUAAACUGCUUUUGUACGGAACGAAACGGCUCUGGUUAAUACCUGGGGCUAAUGACGGUACCGUAAGAAUAAGCACCGGCUAACUACGUGCCAGCAGCCGCGGUAAUACGUAGGGUGCAAGCGUUAAUCGGAAUUACUGGGCGUAAAGCGUGCGCAGGCGGUUUUGUAAGACAGGCGUGAAAUCCCCGGGCUCAACCUGGGAAUGGCGCUUGUGACUGCAAAGCUGGAGUGCGGCAGAGGGGGAUGGAAUUCCGCGUGUAGCAGUGAAAUGCGUAGAUAUGCGGAGGAACACCGAUGGCGAAGGCAAUCCCCUGGGCCUGCACUGACGCUCAUGCACGAAAGCGUGGGGAGCAAACAGGAUUAGAUACCCCGGUAGA
rnacentral:rRNA from 1 species